rnacentral:lncRNA from 1 species
UCCUCCUCCUCUCUCUCUCUACAAUGGCCUAAUCUGGAAUGGGCGACCACAUGCGACAUUGAAGAAAAAGAAAAAAAAUAAAACUCACAUGCUUAGCAUAUGGGGUGAAAGAAGAGGACUCCUGAUGGAGUUUUGCCUCCUCUUUCAAAUUCGAUGGAAAGAGGACUCCUAGGACAUGUUCGAUUCUAAUGAAACCUUGGGAAUCACUCUAUUAUAAAAUCAUUCACUCUUCCCUUUUAAAUGCUCCAUCAUGAUAUUCCCCUCGAUUUGCUUCUAGAUAUUGCCAAAAUUUUUGGGUUUCUUUCCAUUGUGG